UACGUAGGGACCAAGCGUUGUUCGGAUUUACUGGGCGUAAAGGGCGCGUAGGCGGCAAUUCAAGUCAGUUGUGAAAUCUCCGAGCUUAACUCGGAACGGUCAACUGAUACUGUUUGCUAGAGUACAGAAGGGCAAUCGGAAUUCUGGUGUAGCGGUGAAAUGCGUAGAUAUCAGGAGGAACACCGGUGGCGAAGGCGGGUCUCUGGGCCGGCAUUGACGCUGAUGAGCGAAAGCCAGGGAGCAAACGGG
rnacentral:rRNA from 1 species